rnacentral:rRNA from 2 species
UAUUAUAAGAAUUUAAUUUUGGUUCCGAUUGAACGUUGUUCAGUAGUUUAAGACAUGCGAAUCAUUGUUUCCAACAAUAUAUUGUAUAAUUAAUAAUUAUAUAAAUAUUUAAAGGGAAUAAGGUGUAAGGGUGAGAAUAAUAAAUAAGUUACUUUAUAAUUUCCAUAAAUAGGGAAUAAAUUUAAUUAUUAAAAUUUUAAUAGUUAAAAUAAGUUAAAUAAAUUAUUUAAUUUAUAUUAAAGGAAAUUUUCUGUUAUAAAAUACUAUUUAUUUUGAUUAGGUAGUUGGUAGGGUUAAAGCCUACCAAGCCUACGAUCAAUAGCUACGUUUGAGAGAACAGAUGGCCACAUUGGGAAUGAAAUCUCCCAAGUAGUUAAAUACUACCAGCAGUCGAGAAUAUUAGUCAAUGCUCGAAAGAGUGAACUAGCUAACUGAAAUCAAUUAUAAUAAUUGAUAAGAUAAGGGAAAAUAAUGAUAUUACCUUAUUAUUAGUGUCGUCCAAAUCUGGUGCCAGAAGACUCGGUAAGGCCAGAGACACGAACGUUAAUCGUCUUAAUCAGGCGUAAAGGGUUUGUAGGCGGCUUUUAAAUUACUUAUAAAUCUUAAUAAAGAUAAAUAAGUUAAUAAUAAAAGCUAGAAUCAAAUAGAGGAUAUAUUAAAUAACGCUUAGAGUAGGUCUGAUAUCCUUAGAUACUAAGUAGAAUAUUAAAGGCGAAGGCUUUUUUCCAUUAAUGAUUGACGCUCAGAAACGAAGGUGAGGAUAGGAAAUAGGAUUAGAUACCCAAAAUACCCCUCUCUGUCAACGAUGAAUGGUAGUUAUUAGUAGAAAAUUUAUUAAUGACAAUGUUAACACGAUAACCAUUCCGCCUUGUGAGUACAACUGCAAAGUUGAAAACAAAAAAAUUAGUCGGUUUCGGAGCAAACGAAGUGAAGCAUGUUAUUUAAUACGAUAAUCCGCGUAAAACCUUACCAGUUCUUGAAUAAAAACUUUAUUUUUAUUUUAUAAAAUAUAAAGGAAUGUUUUAACUUUAAAAUUUAUAUAAAUUUAAAGAAUAAAUUAAAACAUUUAAUACAGGUGUUGCAUGGCUGUCUUCAGUCCGUAUCGUGAGAACUGAGGUUAAUUCCGCUAACGGACGAAAUCCCUAUUGUUAAUUAAAAAUAUUUUAUUACAUACUUAACAAUUAAUGAUUCUUAUAGAGUUUCAUUUGGGGCUAAGACAAGUCGUUAUGGCCCUUAUGAACUGGGCUAUAGACGUGCCACAAAAACUUUUACAAAGUGAUGCUAGACUGUAUCCUAAAAUGAAUUAAAUAUAUAUUUUUAUUAUUAAGGAUAAUAUCUUAUUUUAUUUUAAUAAAUUAUAUUCUCGAAAGAUUUAUAAUUCAUUUAUUUUUAAAAUUUAUAGAAAAUUUUAAAUUUGGAAAGUAGGAGGAGCUAAUCAUUAAAAAAAGUUAAAUUAUAAAUUUAGACGGAUUGUUCUCUGCAAUUCGGGAACAUGAAGAAGGAAUUUCGAGUAAUCGUUGAUAAUAAGCGCAACGGUGAAACUAGCAUCCGUGAUGAACUAACUGUCUGUCGCUGGGAAGAAGCUUAUAAUGAUGGAAAUAGAAAUCUAGUUAUAACUUUUCAUAGUAACAUUUAAUUUUAUUUUUGAUAAAAUUAAAAUAGUUUAUUUAUUCUUUGAAAUAUUAUAAACGGCUAUGUUAAACUAAUUAGGUUUUUAUUAAUUCAUUUGAGUAACAUCUCAAAAGUCAUAGCAAGGUAGCCGUACUGGAAAGUGCUGCUGGAAAAUAAAUUAA